rnacentral:rRNA from 1 species
UACAGAGGGGGCAAGCGUUGUUCGGAAUUACUGGGCGUAAGGGCGCGUAGGCGGCCUUCUAAGUCGAACGUGAAAUCCCCGGGCUCAACCCGGGAACUGCGUCCGAUACUGGAAGGCUUGAAUCCGGGAGAGGGAUGCGGAAUUCCAGGUGUAGCGGUGAAAUGCGUAGAUAUCUGGAGGAACACCGGUGGCGAAGGCGGCAUCCUGGACCGGUAUUGACGCUGAGGCGCGAAAGCCAGGGGAGCAAACGGG